CGGUGAGUGCUUUGGGGUGGGGUGACUGCGUACCUUUUGUAUAAUGGGUCAGCGACUUAUAUUCUGUAGCAAGGUUAACCGUAUAGGGGAGCCGGAGGGAAACCGAGUCUUAAUUGGGCGUUAAGUUGCAGGGUAUAGACCCGAAACCCGGUGAUCUAGCCAUGGGCAGGUUGAAGGUUGGGUAACACUAACUGGAGGACCGAACCGACUAAUGUUGAAAAAUUAGCGGAUGACCUGUGGCUGGGGGUGAAAGGCCAAUCAAACCGGGAGAUAGCUGGUUCUCCCCGAAAGCUAUUUAGGUAGCGCCUCGUGAAUUCAUCUCCGGGGGUAGAGCACUGUUUCGGCUAGGGGGUCAUCCCGACUUACCAACCCGAUGCAAACUGCGAAUACCGGAGAAUGUUAUCACGGGAGACACACGGCGGGUGCUAACGUCCGUCGUGAAGAGGGAAACAACCCAGACCGCCAGCUAAGGUCCCAAAGUCAUGGUUAAGUGGGAAACGAUGUGGGAAGGCCCAGACAGCCAGGAUGUUGGCUUAGAAGCAGCCAUCAUUUAAAGAAAGCGUAAUAGCUCACUGGUCGAGUCGGCCUGCGCGGAAGAUGUAACGGGGCUAAACCAUGCACCGAAGCUGCGGCAGCGACACUCAGGUGUUGUUGGGUAGGGGAGCGUUCUGUAAGCCUGCGAAGGUGGCCUGUGAGGGUUGCUGGAGGUAUCAGAAGUGCGAAUGCUGACAUAAGUAACGAUAAAGCGGGUGAAAAGCCCGCUCGCCGGAAGACCAAGGGUUCCUGUCCAACGUUAAUCGGGGCAGGGUGAGUCGACCCCUAAGGCGAGGCCGAAAGGCGUAGUCGAUGGGAAACGGGUUAAUAUUCCCGUACUUGGUGUUACUGCGAAGGGGGGACGGAGAAGGCUAUGUUGGCCGGGCGACGGUU
rnacentral:rRNA from 1 species